GAUGAAGACGUAGCGAAAUGCGAUAAGUAAUGUGAAUUGCAGAAUUCAGUGAAUCAUCGAAUCUUUGAACGCACAUUGCGCCCGCCAGUAUUCUGGCGGGCAUGCCUGUUCGAGCGUCAUUUCAACCAUCAAGCCCCAGGCUUGUGUUGGGGACCUGCGGCUGCCGCAGGCCCUGAAAACCAGUGGCGGGCUCGCUGUCACACCGGGCGUAGUAGAUUUUAUCUCGCUCAGGGCGUGCUGCGGGUCCCGGCCGUUAAAAGCCUUUUUUUACCCAAGGUUGACCUCGGAUCAGGUAGGAAGACCCGCUGAACUUAAGCAUAUCAAUAAGCGGAGGA
rnacentral:misc_RNA from 1 species